rnacentral:lncRNA from 1 species
GAUUCCUCCCCUCCCCCACCGCCCUCCAGCUAUAGCUAGUCUCCCUUUAUUACUCCCUUUACUAGGACUGUGUAAUACAAUGUGUUUCCCUUUUUAUCUCAGCUGCUGGGAAGCUCAAAGUCAUGCUAUACGCCUCAUUAAGUUUAUUCUGCUUCUGAGUUUUCUUCCCCCUCACUGUCCUCUCCUUUCAUGGCCAUGUCUUUAUCUUUUGUCCAUGUUUUGAUGAAACUAUCAUCUCUAUAUCUCAUAAGUUACUUAAAUACUUUUGGGAAGUGGCAUGCAAAUAAAUCAAUCAUGUGGACUCGCAUGUUCCAUUAAGUGCUUUGCAGAUGGGAAAAUUUGGAAGAUUAAUGCCGAUCCUAUGAUGAAGGCUGAAAUUUCACUUCUAACACAAAUUAAUCAUUAAUAUUUAAAAGCUUAGAUAUAGUCACAGCUAUGAACCUUUGCCUAGCCUUCGCCAUUUAUAAGGUGAGUGCUUUCCAACACGUGCUCUCAUUUUGUAAUUAGUGUUCAUGCUUUACAAAUGAGAAAAGUGAGGUUUGGAGAGCUUUCAGUGGCCUGUCAGAGGUCACAGAGUUUGUAAACUCAGCUCUUCUGACCCUAAGCCAAGUCUUUCGCCCCUGCGCCCCCGACAUCCUCGUUUCUCAAUGACUUCUCAUUUGAGCCAGUGUUCUUCUCAUCGUCCUCAAACAAGUUGUUUGCAGUUUUUGUUUUCUUUUUUCAACAUGCCGAUCAGAUUGGAGCAAAAGGCCAUCUUAGUGGUUAUUUCUCUUGCUGAGGUGAUCUGCAGAAAGUCUGGACACUGCUGAUUCAAGGUCUAAAGGGUCAAGCUUGAAAUGGUCGCUUCUGGAAGAUGUGAGCCCCCUUGCAUCAUCCCGGGUUUCCUGCCUCAGUUUGCCUGCCACAUAUCCUGCAGCUGUAUUUGAGGCCACAGACCUACCCCCAACUGCAACUGUACCGAAAAGCUUCAGGAAUAGUUUGUCCAGAAGGUCCGCUGCCGGUAGAAACUUCUGGAAGGCCAAGCACCCUAAAAGAGCUGUGCAUCCAACACCCUUCUCUCUGAUUUCCUUCUCCAGGUUUGGCCAGACUCAAUGCUCGUUCUCCAUUAGGCCUCAGAUCCUACCUACAGUCUGGGGGCUGGAGAGGCUAAUCUCAAAGGGCUAGAAAUGAGUCAGUUUCCACGCUCAGCUUCAGGUG